ensembl:misc_RNA 7SK 7SK RNA
GGAUGUGAGGGCGAUCUGGCUGCAGCAUCUGUCACCCCAUUGAUCAUCAGGGUUGAUUCCACUGAUCUGGCUGGCAAAGGAGGUCGCGCCUUCCUCCCUCACCACUCCAUGUGUGUCCCUCCAGAGCGUGAGGGCUUCGUGGAAGAUGAUGACAUUCCCUGAUAGAAGAGGAGGACCAUUCUUCAGUCAAAGGUACAGGAGUAGUUGCGCUCCCCUGCUAGAACUUCUAAACAGGCUCUCGUGUCCGUUUGUAGGGGAACGAAGGGUAGUCAAGCUUCCAAGACUCCAGACACAUCCAAACAAGGCACUGUUUUUGGCAGUCUGCCUUUCUUG